GAUGAAGAACGCAGCGAAAUGCGAUACUUGGUGUGAAUUGCAGAAUCCCGUGAACCAUCGAGUCUUUGAACGCAAGUUGCGCCCGAAGCCAUUAGGCCGAGGGCACGCCUGCCUGGGCGUCACACGUCGUUGCCCCCCCCAUCUACUCCUUCGGGAUUGCGGGGGGCGGAUGAUGGCCUCCCGUGUGCCUCGCCGCGCGGUUGGCAUAAAUACCAAGUCCUCGGCGACGCACGCCACGACAAUCGGUGGUUGCGAAACCUCGGUUGCCCGUCGUGUGCGGUCGUCGCGCAUCGAGGGCUCGAAAAAAUUGCCGGGUUCCGGCUCGGCUUUCAACGCGACCCCAGGUCAGGCGGGGUUACCCGCUGAAUUUAAGCAUAUCAAUAAGCGGAGGA
rnacentral:misc_RNA from 1 species